GUUACUCACUUGCAAAUUAGGGGAUUUCCUCAAACAUCUGCAGCUUUAGAUCGCUUACACUUAAUCAUCACACAUGAGCACCUAGUAGACGUGGGUACUUAGAUUUCUUUGAAGGUAGCUGCCUAAAUGUGGCUUGGUGUUCUUACUCUAGAUAGGUACGGUCCAGAUUUCACUCUAGAAGGUAAAAUAUCUCUUGGAAUUGUAAGCAGUUGGUUGCAGUUAAUAUGGUGAUAGAAGAUGGUG